UUAGAUGCUACUAAGUUUGUUGCCUCAGAUGUAAAAUUUCCCGAUGGCUUCUGUCGAGCCAUCAACCAUGCCUCAUAUCGCUUUAGUUCGGGAGGGUCAACCAUCAAACUUUCAUCACCUUUGGCCUCUUCAAUCACUUUUUUCCUCCUCUCUUCCAUUACGGUGGCCCUAAGUUUUUCAUAACCACCACGAGACAAAAUAUGAGGGUGGAUAUUCUUUGAUGCAUGUGUCUUU
rnacentral:lncRNA from 1 species